rnacentral:lncRNA from 12 species
UCACCAUUCCCACUCCGCGCCCCGUGCCCUCCCGUGCCCUCCUCAGUGCCCUCAGGGUGCAGCUCGUCCAAGCCCCUGCCCCAGGCAGGCCUCUGGCCCUGGGGUGGGUGAAUUCUUGGCAGCAGACCCUGGGGGUCUCAGGACCUGGCCUGUCAGGGGCGGUGGGUGGGAUGUAGGUUCCAACUGGCCUGAGGCUAGAUUGGGGCCAGGCACCUGCAGUGCUCACAGGAGGGGUUUCCGUGGGUGAGAUGAUCACCAUCAUCAUCGUUACCAUGGCAGUGAUCUGGAUCAUUUCCGUUGAAGUUGCUGACCCUUGGCCCCUGGGCUAGUGGCUACUGGCUGGCGAGUGGACUCCUGGCUCCCGGGCUAGCACGUGGCACCCUCCUCCGUCCUGCCCUGGCUGUGGACCCCAGGCCCCCUGCACACACAGUCACCCAGCUCUCAGGGCUGCUGUCCACAAAGACAUUGCACCCUCCUGCCUGGAUGAAUGAAGUAGUCCAGACCAAGUGCUUCCACGGAAUACCCGAGGAAACAACUAAACUACAGAAUUUUCUGUUGGAGAAGGAAAGUGAAGGCCAGGAAACCAGGCCUCCCUCCUGACGAGUCUGUUGGAUAAAAGUCUCCCCCUCUGCCUCCCUGAUUGAUUAACCAAGGAAAGCUCUUUGUAGAUGCCAGCUCUUAAAUGUAGAAGGAAUGGAGGAACUAGGAGCUCCGAAUUCUUCGUCCCGCAAUGAAAUAACUGUGUGGGACGGGGCAGCGUGAAAGUGUGUCGAUCACACAGUGCUACCUGAGAAGGAAAAAACAUUCUCCACUUCCACCGGAGACAUCUGUCAGCACCUUCACGGGGACUCAAACUCAGCAUCACUGGGCUGAACCGGCCCCACCUCCGGGGAUGCAAAAUCCAGCCCACGAAAUCACCCAGGCUGUGUUCCUACUAAAAACACUUCACUUGAACCAAAGGCCAAGCCUGUAGCUCUCACUUCCAGUUUCCGGGAAGCAGAAGGGAUAGAGCUGCUGGUCCACCACACUGGGAGAGAGGACCAGACGGGUGCAGAGAGCCAGGUGGUUGACAUCCCUCCAACAGAUCAACGUCCUGAAAAGGGUGGGAUUGGUUCUAGUACAAAAACAGCCAAAAAGAAGCAGCGUUUCUGACGACCAGCAUGGACCUGACAAACUAGGAGGACAUCUCAGAAUGGAGGGAGUGUUCAAUGAUGUCAUGGGCUCAUUGGAAGUGUGAAUUGGGCAUGACAAUAACACGAUGCUCGUCUGGAAGAACGGCCUUAUUUCUGGGAGAACUAUUGAGGGUAAAAUAUCUCGAUGUCUAAAAUUUGUUUUUAGAUGACUCAGCAAAACAAUACAGCACACGAAGUUGGUGGGACAAAACCAGUGGUUGGAGGCAGGUGGGGACAAGGUGAGGAGUUGUGCAUGUGCUCCCCUUCUCUGGAUGUUUGAAAGUUUUCCAUAAUACGAGGUUGGAGAAAAACAAAAUGUCAGAUACCGAAUACUUUAAAAAUGUAUCCACUUCUGUUCUCAGGCUGUCAAAUCAAGUCGAGGCCUAUAGGAAUAAAAUGAAAAAAAUAGCAUGAUUUAAUGUGAAC